rnacentral:rRNA from 1 species
GUCUAUCGAAAGGGAAUGCGGUUAAGAUUCCGCAACCGAGAUGCAGAUUUUGAGCGGUAACGCAAAUGAACUUGGAGACGCCAGCGGGAGCCCCGGGAAGAGUUAUCUUUUCUCCUUAACAGUUUCACACCACCCUGGAAUCGGAUUAUCCGGAGAUAGGGUAGUUUGAUGGUAGAGCCUUGCAACUUUGUAGGGUCCGGUGCGCUUCUGAUGGUCCUUGAAAAUCCGAGGGAAUGAAAUAGUCUUGCACUCGAUCGUACCCAUAUCCGCAUCAGGUCCCCAAGGUGAUCAGCCUCUAGUCCAUAGAAUAAUGUAGAUAAGGGAAGUCGGCAAAAUAGAUCCG